rnacentral:lncRNA from 1 species
CACAGAUCUGCUCACUCAGAGAUGAAUACCGAAAUACGAUGAAUAGCAGCCAAAAUCUAAGUUGUGGUCCGAACUUAAAUUCCUUUACCGAAAUCUAUAAUAAAAGCAGGCAUUUACAAUGAGAAAAAUUUCGCCCUACCAAAGAAAAACUGAAUAAAACGUAAUGCCCUGCAAGUUUAGCAGUAGCUCCCUUACGGGAAGAUUUAUAAGUAAAACUACAUUUACCUCAAAACUAGGAUAAUAUAGGACAUCCUAUAGUUUUUGUUUGUAAGAGAACUACAAUCACAUUCUUUCCCAACUUCGACCUAAUUAGUUAAGAACAGAAGCACAUCUUUCCUCCUGAGGGGAGUCGUAAAAAAUAAAAGAAAUAUAGGGUGAGCAGAAAUAGCAAGGGAGAAAGGGAAGGAAAGAAGGAAGCGAGCCAUUUAUAGGCUAAAAGGACAUGUAGCCCUCUAGUGCAUACCAUGAGCGCCGUUUCUAUUGAGGCACUUGGAUUAAGAUAGUAGAGCCUUGGUUUGCUAAGGAUAGAGGCAUUCUUGAGUAGCAACCCAAAUUUUUUUAUCUAGCUCCAGCAAUCGCUUAUGCAUAAUACAUGUACAAGCUAUUUGCAGCAGCACAGGCAAUUGAGUUCUCAGUUGGGUGCCAUGCCAAAUGGAGCAGCUUGGAAGUGAAAUCAAAUGAGUUCCCAUUGGCAUCAACUACUGGGCUUUCAGAACCU